UACGGAAGGCAGCAGUGGGGAAUAUUGCACAAUGGGCGAAAGCCUGAUGCAGCUAUGCCGCGUGUAUGAAGAAGGCCUUAGGGUUGUAAAGUACUUUCAUCGGGGAGGAAAAAACAAAACUAAUAAUUUUAUUUCUUGACGUUACCUGAAAAAGAAGCACCGGCUAACUCCGUGCCAGCAGCCGCGGUAAUACGGAGGGUGCUAGCGUUAAUCAGAAUUACUGGGCGUAAAGAGCACGUAGGUGGUUUUUUUAAGUCAGAUGUGAAAUCCCUGGGCUUAACCUAGGAACUGCAUUUUGAAACUGAAAUACUAGAGUAUCGUAGAGGGAGGUAGAAUUCUAGGUGUAGCGGUGAAAUGCGUAGAUAUCUGGAGGAAUACCUGUGGCGAAAGCGGCCUCCUAAACGAAUACUGACACUGAGGUGCGAAAGCGUGGGGAGCAAACGAGGAUUAGAUACC
rnacentral:rRNA from 1 species